GUUUGAGUGUCUGCAGGGAUUUUCCUAAGUUAGUAAGAGUGUAUUCACAGUUUUUGGAAAGAAAGCUUUCUAAUUUCCAUAAGAUGGGCAGAGUCUGCCUUUCUUCCAAGAGCAGUACUUGUUGCAGUUUGUAGGCUAUCAUAGCUCUACCAUCUAUAAUGGACUUGUUCAUACAAGCCUCUUUGUUUUUGUGGAUUUCUGUGGGGAUUGUAUCUACAGCCAGUACAGCAUGCAGUGAAGAGGAUGCAGAUAAUACCACUUCUAUAGAAUUCAAACAUGUGUUCAGGAAUAUGGCCUAUGAGUUUUCUCAAAAGCCAAAGAGCUGGUCUCAAGCCCAGGAGUCCUGCAAGGAGCGAGGAGGGAAACUUCUGAGGGCCCUGAAUUGCAAGACUAAGAGCUUCCUUCAGGACUUCUCAAAAGAGAGACACACAAAAAACCUCACUUGGUGGGUCGCUAAGGGUGUUAUAGGGCAGUACCAGGGGCCAGUGAUCGUGUAUAAUGCUACAGGAAAGAAUGGUACUUCUAAGGGUAAUGGGAGGGUCCCGCUCCUCUGCACCUAUGUGAUGAUGGAUCCCUUUCAGCUGGUGACCUCAACCAACUGCAGCGCUCGGCGUGGCUACCUCUGCACCCUGGGUACAACACCUUCAAUAACACCAUUUUAACAUGCUUAAAAAAAUUUGUCCUGAUCCUUAUUGUAAGCAGAUAUGCUGCAACAUUUUAUUUCGUUAUUUAACAAUAGUGUAGAGGCCUCAAUGAUAUCCUGAAUAAAAUCUGUGCUGUAUAAUUCUUGCUCUACAGUUUUUAAUAUCUCUACAAAUGCCUCAAAGAGUAUGGUAAGUGGCUUUUAUUAGUGGCCUUUAUCAGUUGUUGUAAUCCUAUGGUGCAGCGUCAGUAAAGUUAUUGUGAGUAUGAAUGGUUCUUGUUGACUUUUGUAGGACAAACAGGGAGCAAGUGGCAAAUCAAGACACUGGAGAAGCCAUCAAAUUAAAGUAAACCGUAAGUUGGUGGAAAGUAUGGUGGCAAAUUUGUUUCACGAUUUCAACCAACCAUUUACUUCCACAAACUAAACGUCUCUCUCUCUUUCUCUCUCUCCUCUCCUUGUUAUCCUACAGGUAUGUCAAGGAGUCUGUCUAGCAUGGAGAAACAAGUGACCAAGAUGGAUGAGCUCCUCAAGGUCAGAAAUGUUGCCGUGUUAAAAGUGCAGUGUGAAAUUUUGUCACAUCCCACUGUGCACAGACGUCAAUUCAUCGUCUAUUCCACGUUGGUUCAACGUAAUUGUGUUCAAAUUACAUGGAAACAACGUUGAUUCAACCAGUGUGUGCCCAGUGGGAUAUUUGAAGAACUUUUUGCUAUCAAAGCAUUAACACAAUUAUAGUUUUCAGUGGUUGGUAGUUUUGAAGUCAUAUCCUCUGUUUUGUUUCAGGAGGCUCAACUGGAACUAGAAAGAAUGGAAAAGGCUAUAGGAGAGCCUACAGACGCCAACGGGGUAAAGCAUCACAAUGACGAUGGACAUGUAUUAAGUUGGGUGUGGUCAGUGGAGUAGAUGACAGAGUUUAUGGCCACUGGAACUUUCAGUCAAAGUGCUCUCUCUCACCACAGAGAUAUAUUAUUAUCAAAUCAGCAAACAAUGAAUGUAAUUAAAUAAGUGAUACUGCUGUAUCUGGUCAAUUUGGACCUAACCUGUACCCUCCCCCAACAGAAAAAGUACCUUGAGCUUCUAUUACAUGGAACACAGAUGCUGUUUCCAAGUGCUCUGAGAUUAGCCAACACAACAGCUAGCCUCCUCAUCAACUGCGCUGGGGGUGUCAUACUCCUCAAAAUGAAAAGAUGUAGCGAGGACAGUGACACUAAAGUGGUGGGUCAAGCAAUGAUAGCAUAGUUGUACCACAGUAGGUGCAUAUAAAAUGUAAAUGUUGGAUUACAUACUGAAAACCUAAUGUCAAUAAACCUAGUGCUGUACAUACUGUAAACAUAUAGAUCUGUUUUUAGUGUUGUGACAUAUGACAAUAGAGAGGGCAUUUUGCUGAUGAUCUGCUGUCUUCAAACAGGACAAGGAAAUGUUUGAUUUGACCUUUGAGAUUUAUAAGGCGGUACAUUUAGUAAUGACCACAGAACUAAAUGAGGCCUUCAUCGUGAAACACCCAACAGGCAGCAUCUACCAGAUCAGGUGAGUGUUUACAACCUGGGCCUCCACCAUCUCACUCAUUGGUAUAGCCGCCAAUUCUACACUUGUAGAAAAAAGGGUUCGAAAAGGGUUCUUUGCCCAAGGAAAUUGUUUUUUGAAGAAACCUUUUUGAAAGAUAAGAGUUCUUUGUAAGGCAAAGAGUUCUACCUAGAACCGUUUUCAUCCUAAGAACCAUUUUCUGGAAGAAAGGGUUAUUUGAUAAUUGUUUGGAAGGCAAGACAGGUUCUUUGGAAGUCAAG
rnacentral:lncRNA from 8 species